UACGGAGGGUGCGAGCGUUGUCCGGAAUCACUGGGCGUAAAGGGCGCGUAGUCGGCUGGGGAAGUCGGCGGUGAAAGCCCGGAGCUCAACUCCGGGUCGGCCGUCGAGACUCCUCGGCUCGAGCUCACUAGAGGCAGAUGGAAUUCCGGGUGUAGCGGUGGAAUGCGUAGAGAUCCGGAAGAACACCGGUGGCGAAGGCGGCCUGCUGGGCAGUUGCUGACACUGAGGCGCGACAGCGUGGGGAGCAAACAGG
rnacentral:rRNA from 1 species